rnacentral:rRNA from 1 species
GACGAACGCUGGCGGCGUGCUUAACACAUGCAAGUCGAACGAAGAGCGAUGGAAGCUUGCUUCUAUCAAUCUUAGUGGCGAACGGGUGAGUAACGCGUAAUCAACCUGCCCUUCAGAGGGGGACAACAGUUGGAAACGACUGCUAAUACCGCAUACGAUCUAAUCUCGGCAUCGAGGAUAGAUGAAAGGUGGCCUCUACAUGUAAGCUAUCACUGAAGGAGGGGAUUGCGUCUGAUUAGCUAGUUGGAGGGGUGACGGCCCACCAAGGCGAUGAUCAGUAGCCGGUCUGAGAGGAUGAACGGCCACAUUGGGACUGAGACACGGCCCAGACUCCUACGGGAGGCAGCAGUGGGGAAUCUUCCGCAAUGGACGAAAGUCUGACGGAGCAACGCCGCGUGAGUGAUGACGGCCUUCGGGUUGUAAAGCUCUGUUAAUCGGGACGAAAGGCCUUCUUGCGAAUAGUGAGAAGGAUUGACGGUACCGGAAUAGAAAGCCACGGCUAACUACGUG